UCCACAUUACAGAAAAUGGCACCUGGAUU
rnacentral:piRNA from 1 species